AAGUCGUAACAAGGUUUCCGUAGGUGAACCUGCGGAAGGAUCAUUACCAAAUCCAAAUUACCUAACCCCAUGUGAACUAUUGUUUUAGUCUGUCUUUGGGAGAAGUUUCCUUCUUUUCUGUAAAAGGAAUUGAAUAGCUUCUCCCAAUAGAGUCCGGCAUAACUGUAUUGUUAUGUCCAGAUUCGAAAAACACCCUUUUAAACCACUUGAUUUUUCUGUUGGAAUUUUCUUUUAUAAUUAUCAAUAAAAGACAACUUUUAACGGCGGAUCUCUUGGCUCGUG
rnacentral:misc_RNA from 1 species